rnacentral:rRNA from 1 species
GACGGAGGAUCCAAGCGUUAUCCGGAAUUACUGGGCGUAAAGAGUUGCGUUGGUGGCAUAGUAAGUAGAUAGUGAAAGCGUGUGGCUCAACCAUACUCACAUUAUCUAAACUGCUAAGCUAGAGGACGAGAGAGGUACCUGGAAUUCCCUGUGUAGGAGUGAAAUCCGUAGAUAUAGGGAGGAACACCGAUGGCGUAGGCAGGGUACUGGCUCGUUCCUGACACUAAGGCACGAAAGCGUGGGUAGCAAACGGG